UUGAUUUAUUUAAUCGUGUUACUCAGAAGAUACUGUAUAAAACAAGAGUUUGGGGGUCCUCUGGCGGGCCGCCGGAGCGGGCACCGCCGAGGCAACAGUUUGGUAACGUUCACAUUGGGUUUGGGAGUUGUAAACUCGGUAAUGAUCCCUCCGCUGGUUCACCAACGGAGA
rnacentral:misc_RNA from 1 species